rnacentral:rRNA from 1 species
GAUGAACGCUGGCGGCGUGCCUAAUACAUGCAAGUCGAGCGAACGGACGAGAAGCUUGCUUUUCUGAUGUUAGCGGCGGACGGGUGAGUAACACGUGGAUAACCUACCUAUAAGACUGGGAUAACUUCGGGAAACCGGAGCUAAUACCGGAUAAUAUUUUGAACCGCAUGGUUCAAAAGUGAAAGACGGUCUUGCUGUCACUUAUAGAUGGAUCCGCGCUGCAUUAGCUAGUUGGUAAGGUAACGGCUUACCAAGGCAACGAUGCAUAGCCGACCUGAGAGGGUGAUCGGCCACACUGGAACUGAGACACGGUCCAGACUCCUACGGGAGGCAGCAGUAGGGAAUAUUCCGCAAUGGGCGAAAGCCUGACGGAGCAACGCCGCGUGAGUGAUGAAGGUCUUCGGAUCGUAAAACUCUGUUAUUAGGGAAGAACAUAUGUGUAAGUAACUGUGCACAUCUUGACGGUACCUAAUCAGAAAGCAACGGCUAACUACGUG